UACAGGGGGGGCAAGCGUUGUUCGGAAUUACUGGGCGUAAAGGGCUCGUAGGCGGCCAACUAAGUCACACGUGAAAUCCCCAGGCUUAACCCGGGAACUGCGUGUGAUACUGGAUGGCUUGAAUCCGGGAGAGGGAUGCAGAAUUCCAGGUGUAGCGGUGAAAUGCGUAGAUAUCUGGAGGAAUACCGGUGGCGAAGGCGGCAUCCUGGACCGGCAUUGACGCUGAUGAGCGAAAGCUAGGGGAGCAAACGGG
rnacentral:rRNA from 1 species